GCCAUGGAGAAGGAAGGCCAGGCUGUGACAGUCCCCGCAUCCUGCCCAGAGUAAACGUGGAGGCAGGACAGGCUAUUCUGGAGGCCCUCAGGAUUGGGGUCUGUGCUUGCCCCCCGCCCUCAGGCACGGAGAACAGUCCACAGGCCUAGUGUCCAAGGCCCCCUCUGCCCUGUGAGGAUGGGGCCUGAUAUCCCCAGAAAAACUCCGGAAACACAGCCUGCCAAAGACCUCGCAUUCUGACUUCCUCUUGGGAAAAGAAAGGAAGGAAAUUGGAGAAAGAAAGAUGAAAUGAAAGCAAAACGAUGGAAGGAAGAGGGGAAGGUGUGCAGAGCAUGGUGGUACAGCUGCGUGUGGUUGAGGGUGCUGCUUUCCUGGAGCAGGACCAAGGGAAAGAAAACUCUUCUGUGGGAAGCUCAUCGCUAUUCAUUCUCUUGAUUCAGGUGCAGAGGGGUGAUUGCCCAGAGAGAAGAAAGGCUUGAAUGGCAAUCAGCACUAGCAGAAGGUGGACUGUCAUUGUGAACUGAGGAAGGAGGCUGCAAAAGGAAAUGGGAAUCAAAGUGGAUAUGCUGAUAGCCAGGCUGGUGCUCUUCCAGGUAAGUCUACCUGCCCUGGCCCCAGGCGGCCCUCCUGGGGCUGGCUGGUCCACUGGAUCCUGGAUACAGCAGAACU